CAACUGCCGAGUAGGCUGCAAUAAUGAGAAAACUCAGCUAUUUCUAUUUUUUACAGUUAGCCUACCUUAGAAAUUUCUACUUGGAACCUUUUGAUAAAUAAUGUAAGGAAAACAAAAUCACUUUAGCCCUAACUUCUUUGGGAUGCCGGUUCUAAUUGUGCCAUUUCUUAAAGCAGUAGCAAUGAGAAUUUUUGGACUAAAGAAUCUUAUAUUUCUCACCCUUUGUUGUUGUCUUCUCAAGGUAGGCAUGAAAAGCAGGAUCAAGAGAUGGAAGUCGGUACCAGUCAACUCAUCAUCCAGAACCUUGAUGUGCCAGAUGGUUUUGGUUGGAAGCAGUCUCUCUCAAGGCCAUGGAAUGAUGGAAAUGCUAAUGGUGGAAGACGAAUCCAGUAAUUGUGGUCAAACUCACGAUGAAUAGACAUCAUACAUUCUAACUUCAUCCCCCACAAGGAACAGGAUCAUCCCUGUAAAAUCUUCAGGAACAGAACCCAGUGCCUCACCUGUGUCUUGCCACUAUGAGCAUUGAAUUCAGCCACUGUUUCCUUGCUGCUCACUUUGAUGGUCCCAUUUACGGUGGGCGGUCCCUGCUCACAUUACACAGGUUAGUUACCAUCUUUGCUUUAUCUUCCUCUAAAUUGCCCCCAGUAAUUUCUACACAGGAAAUCCAGUUCAGCUGUGUGAGUAAAGCCUAGAGCCAUGCCUUAUAACAUGUUUAUUCAGCCAAGAAUCUGAUUCCACAUCCCCAAAUUGCAUAUAAUGGGUUCCUACUGUGGGUUUCACAGGCUGAUCGGUAUUCU
rnacentral:lncRNA from 1 species